rnacentral:rRNA from 1 species
UACGUAGGCAGCGAGCGUUGUUCGGAAUUACUGGGCGUAAAGAGUGUGUAGGCGGUGUUCUAAGUCUGUUGUGAAAUCUCCCGGCUCAACUGGGAGGGUGCGGCGGAAACUGGAAUGCUAGAGUGUGGGAGAGGUAAGCGGAAUUCCUGGUGUAGCGGUGAAAUGCGUAGAUAUCAGGAGGAACACCGGUGGCGAAGGCGGAUCUCUGGGCCUUACCUGACGCUCAGGCGCGAAAGCUAGGGGAGCGAACAGG